rnacentral:rRNA from 1 species
AUGGCUCAGAUUGAACGCUGGCGGCAGGCCUAACACAUGCAAGUCGAGCGCGAAAGUCUUCGGAUGAGUAAAGCGGCGAACGGGUGAGUAAUGCAUGGGAAUCUGCCUGGUAGUGGGGGACAACGUCUCGAAAGGGACGCUAAUACCGCAUACGCCCUACGGGGAAAGGGGGGGAUCUUCGGACCUCUCGCUAUCAGAUGAGCCCAUGUCAGAUUAGCUAGUUGGUGAGGUAAAGGCUCACCAAGGCGACGAUCUGUAACUGGUCUGAGAGGAUGAUCAGUCACACUGGAACUGAGACACGGUCCAGACUCCUACGGGAGGCAGCAGUGGGGAAUAUUGGACAAUGGGGGCAACCCUGAUCCAGCCAUGCCGCGUGUGUGAAGAAGGCCCUAGGGUUGUAAAGCACUUUCAGUGGGGAGAAAGGUUAUUCACCUAAUACGUGAGUAGAUUGAUGUUACCCACAGAAGAAGCACCGGCUAACUCCGUG